rnacentral:rRNA from 1 species
AUGCUUAACACAUGCAAGUCGAACGGUAGCAGGCCUUCGGGCGCUGACGAGUGGCGGACGGGUGAGUAACGCGUAGGAAUCUGCCUCAUAGUGGGGGACAACGUGGGGAAACCCACGCUAAUACCGCAUACGCCCUACGGGGGAAAGCGGGGGAUCUUCGGACCUCGCGCUAUGAGAUGAGCCUGCGUUAGAUUAGCUAGUUGGUAGGGUAAAGGCCUACCAAGGCGACGAUCUAUAGCUGGUCUGAGAGGACGAUCAGCCACACUGGGACUGAGACACGGCCCAGACUCCUACGGGAGGCAGCAGUGGGGAAUAUUGGACAAUGGGCGGAAGCCUGAUCCAGCAAUACCGCGUGUGUGAAGAAGGCCUUCGGGUUGUAAAGCACUUUCAAUUGGGAGGAAAACCUGCCGGUCAAUACCCGGUAGCUUGACAUUACCUUUAGAAGAAGCACCGGCUAACUCCGUGCCAGCAGCCGCGGUAAUACGGAGGGUGCGAGCGUUAAUCGGAAUUACUGGGCGUAAAGCGUGCGUAGGCGGUUCGUUAAGUCAGACGUGAAAGCCCCGGGCUCAACCUGGGNAACUGCAUUUGAAACUGGCGGACUAGAGUUUAGUAGAGGGGAGUGGAAUUUCAGGUGUAGCGGUGAAAUGCGUAGAUAUCUGAAGAACACCAGUGG